rnacentral:rRNA from 1 species
CAAGCGAACAAGGGCUUACGAUGGAUACCUUGGUAUCUAGAAGCGAUGAAGGGCAUGGCUACCAGUGAAAUACUUCGGGGAGUUGGAAGCAAGCGAUGAUCCGGAGGUUCCCGAAUGAGGCAACUUUUUACACUGCUUGCUGAAUCUAUAGGCAAGAAAGAGCAAACCUAGCGAAUUGAAACAUCUUAGUAGCUAGAGGAAAAGAAAGCAAAAGCGAUUCCCUGAGUAGCGGCGAGCGAAACGGGAACAGCCUAAACUACUUACUUGUAAGUAGGGUUGUGGGACAGUUGACAUGAAUUUAUGGAAGCUAGAUGAAAUGGUUGGAAUGCCAUAACGAAGAAGGUGAAAUUCCUGUAAUCGAAAGCAGAUAUAAUCUAAACUGUAUCCCGAGUAGUAUGGAGCACGUGAAAUUCCGUAUGAAUCAGCGAGGACCACCUCGUAAGGCUAAAUAUUCCUAGAUGACCGAUAGUGAACCAGUACCGUGAGGGAAAGGUGAAAAGAACCCCGGGAGGGG